rnacentral:lncRNA from 1 species
CUUGUAUCAUUUUAAUUCCUCAACAUCUGUAAAAACAGUAAAAAUAAGAGAUAAUGAGCUAGACAGCUCAGUAAGCAAUGAUCACUUUCAACAGAUUUCAUCAGGUAUUUAAAUAAAUAAUCAUUUAUAGAAAAUAAGUAUAUAGAGUUCAUCAAUUCAAAAUAAAUUUCGAUUAUGCAAUAUAGUUUAUACCAAUUUUUUUUUUCAAAAAUUCGAGUUUCUUUUGAAAUUUCAAUUUCUUUCAUUCUUAAAUUCUUUUCAUCAACCAUGAGCUAUGACUACAUUUUUUCUGUGGCAGAAUCAUAACAUCACGUAUUUUCUUGCGGUGAGAUGCGAAUCAUCUG